UACAGAGACUGCAAGCGUUAUUCGGAUUCACUGGGCGUAAAGGGUGCGCAGGCGGCCGUGUGUGUGAGGCGUGAAAGCCCGGGGCUUAACCCCGGAAUUGCACCUCAAACUACAUGGCUAGAGCAUUGGAGAGGGUAGCGGAAUUCACGGUGUAGCAGUGAAAUGCGUAGAUAUCGUGAGGAACACCAGAGGCGAAGGCGGCUACCUGGACAAUUGCUGACGCUCAGGCAC
rnacentral:rRNA from 1 species